rnacentral:rRNA from 1 species
CGGCGUGCCUAAUACAUGCAAGUCGAACGAGUUCUGAUUAUUGAAAGGUGCUUGCAUCUUGAUUUAAUUUUGAACGAGUGGCGGACGGGUGAGUAACACGUGGGUAACCUGCCCUUAAGUGGGGGAUAACAUUUGGAAACAGAUGCUAAUACCGCAUAAAUCCAAGAACCGCAUGGUUCUUGGCUGAAAGAUGGCGUAAGCUAUCGCUUUUGGAUGGACCCGCGGCGUAUUAGCUAGUUGGUGAGGUAACGGCUCACCAAGGCAAUGAUACGUAGCCGAACUGAGAGGUUGAUCGGCCACAUUGGGACUGAGACACGGCCCAAACUCCUACGGGAGGCAGCAGUAGGGAAUCUUCCACAAUGGACGCAAGUCUGAUGGAGCAACGCCGCGUGAGUGAAGAAGGCUUUCGGGUCGUAAAACUCUGUUGUUGGAGAAGAAUGGUCGGCAGAGUAACUGUUGUCGGCGUGACGGUAUCCAACCAGAAAGCCACGGCUAACUACGUGCCAGCAGCCGCGGUAAUACGUAGGUGGCAAGCGUUAUCCGGAUUUAUUGGGCGUAAAGCGAGCGCAGGCGGUUUUUUAAGUCUGAUGUGAAAGCCCUCGGCUUAACCGAGGAAGUGCAUCGGAAACUGGGAAACUUGAGUGCAGAAGAGGACAGUGGAACUCCAUGUGUAGCGGUGAAAUGCGUAGAUAUAUGGAAGAACACCAGUGGCGAAGGCGGCUGUCUGGUCUGUAACUGACGCUGAGGCUCGAAAGCAUGGGUAGCGAACAGGAUUAGAUACCCUGGUAGUCCAUGCCGUAAACGAUGAAUGCUAGGUGUUGGAGGGUUUCCGCCCUUCAGUGCCGCAGCUAACGCAUUAAGCAUUCCGCCUGGGGAGUACGACCGCAAGGUUGAAACUCAAAGGAAUUGACGGGGGCCCGCACAAGCGGUGGAGCAUGUGGUUUAAUUCGAAGCAACGCGAAGAACCUUACCAGGUCUUGACAUCUUUUGAUCACCUGAGAGAUCAGGUUUCCCCUUCGGGGGCAAAAUGACAGGUGGUGCAUGGUUGUCGUCAGCUCGUGUCGUGAGAUGUUGGGUUAAGUCCCGCAACGAGCGCAACCCUUAUGACUAGUUGCCAGCAUUUAGUUGGGCACUCUAGUAAGACUGCCGGUGACAAACCGGAGGAAGGUGGGGAUGACGUCAAAUCAUCAUGCCCCUUAUGACCUGGGCUACACACGUGCUACAAUGGAUGGUACAACGAGUUGCGAGACCGCGAGGUCAAGCUAAUCUCUUAAAGCCAUUCUCAGUUCGGACUGUAGGCUGCAACUCGCCUACACGAAGUCGGAAUCGCUAGUAAUCGCGGAUCAGCACGCCGCGGUGAAUACGUUCCCGGGCCUUGUACACACCGCCCGUCACACCAUGAGAGUUUGUAACACCCGAAGCCGGUGGCGUAACCCUUUUAGGGAGCGAGCCGUCUAAGGUGGGACAAAUGAUUAGGGUGAAGUA